CCCUACGGGGUGCAGCAGGCGAGAUAUACACGAACUCCGAGUCGGAAUAAAGAGCAAUUCUAUGCACAUGGCGCAAGGGUUGUUUGUGAACUUGUUUCAGGUAUUCAAGGAGUGCUCCUGAUGCUGCGAUUGCAGCGGGUAAUUCGUCAACGCCAAAACCUCGCAAUGAAUGCGUUUUGAAAUGUUCCUGUAACGAUUGUCGAGCCAUAUCAGUGUUAAAGGCCCAAUCUUCAAAAGGGCUGAGUGUUAUUUGUUUAUUGCGCAGUGCAGGAUCUUGAAAGAGUUCACGGACAACGGUUUCUUCCCGGUAUGCGUAGAUGCAUUCGUAGGCGUUCAUUUUUGCGAUACCAUCGAUGAGUUGUUUUACCGUUGGAAAUUCAUUGGUUUGAAUAAUCCCGCUUGCGGUAUCAGUAAAAGCGAUACCGAAUGAAUUGGCGGGGGAGC
rnacentral:rRNA from 1 species